AGUGGUCCAACAACACGUACAGUGGGAUAUGAAGGUUAAAGCAUUGGUCUCAUCCACGGGACACAGUGGAGAUGAUGGGAGCGGCGGAAGCACUUCUACUCGGAGAGAGACUCGUCCUCUUCUCCCGUGCUGGGGGAGGCCAUUCCGGUGUCCAGACCAUCGCCUGGAACGGGACAAAGCAUUGUGUAAGCUGCUGCUGUGUAAAAACAAACUAAUGCCAACAACCCUCGAACACUAAGAAUUUGUGUAGCAGGGCACCUGUAUCGCUACAAUUGUCCCCUGUGCUGUGUGAGGGCAGACCACAGGUGCCCGGGGUUCCCAACGAGGGCGGCACAUUCAUCCGGCUCUCGUAACCAUGAUGCAUUCUGUGGAGACAGAGGGAGAGAACAAGGGUGAAAAGAACUGGUGCAGGAUCCGUUAAAGUCCUCCAUGUCGGACUUGGAGCCUCCCUCCCGUUCAUCCAGGACCAAGUCCGUGGGCAUUUUGCCCUUCAGGCAGGUGAUGUAACGGUGGCAGAAAUUAUCACAUAGGUCAUGCACCUAGGAGAAAGAAGACAUGAUCAUUUUCAGGUGAACAUUUCACUUCAUUUAUGUUCUCGAGUGCCAGCCUUUGUUCGACUUCCUGGAGAAAACGCGGCUAAACACACACAAACAAGCUCGCCUAUGCAGGCAAUUAUUUGGCGAGCCAAGCUACAAAGACUCGUGCCGCCCCGUUCGUCAUCAAAAUGUAACGCAUAAUAGCAGGUGCCCGUGGUGAUUAUCUCACUUGCGAAAUCUGUGUUGUUCGGCGACAUAUAGAAAGAUAGGUUACUGCUUGUUAGUCCCUUCUCUAGGCAUUAGAGCCUUUUCCCUUUGGAAUUUCUCAAGACGGUUGGGGAAGGGGGGGGAAUUAGUCACAGCGAGUCACAGGUAGGUCAUCAUUUUUCGGUUACCAGUUUUAAUCCCCCAAAAGGAGCGUUCAAGCAGUUGCUGCUGUCUACUAGUGUGGACUGAAUGGGCGGCAAUGACAGGGAGAUGCCGCUAUUUGGAGGGUAAUGGCUCGCAACAACAGUGG